GAAAGAAGUUUAGUAGAGGAAUUCGCGGGAAGAAACACCGGAGCAGAGAACAAAAAAACUAACCUAAACAACAGUCUUUACUCUGUCUUAAUCUUCCUUCCUUAAAUUCAUUAUCAUCUCAUGGCUGUUCUUGUUCAAUACAGUUAUUAUUAUUCUCUUCUCUAUAAUUCUUGUAGAAGAACAACCAGACCCUUUUCUCCUUUUAAGCUAUCCUCACCCACCCGUCUUGAUCUAUCCUCAUCUUAUAAUACUCCAAUCAGCCACAGUUCAAGAUCAUUCAAGUUACCUAGAAACAGGUGUCAUAAGGUUGUUGUCUCUGAAGAAGCGAGCACUGUUGGGUCCGCUUCUGCUGCCACUGACACUGAUGUGUUCAGGCUCACUUACUUAGAGGGGAAUAGCUGGUUGUGGGAGGUAGGCGGGGCUAUUAUUUUGGUCGACCCAAUCUUGGUGGGUAACUUAGAUUUUGGAAUUCCCUGGCUUUAUGAUGCUGCCAAGAAGGUCCUUAAGAAUUUCCAGCUUAGUGAUCUUCCUCAAGUGGAUUGCCUGUUGAUCACUCAAAGCCUCGAUGACCAUUGCCACUUAAAGACCCUAAAGCCACUUUCUGAAUCAUCUCCAAAUCUCAGAGUCAUUGCAACUCCAAAUGCUAAGCCUUUGCUGGAUCCCCUUUUUAGUAAUGUCAUUUAUCUAGAACCUGGUGAGAGUUCUGAAUUUGAUGCCAGAAAUGGCUCUAAAGUUGGAGUCAAAGCAACAGCAGGGCCAGUUCUAGGUCCUCCUUGGCAGCGCCCUGAGAAUGGAUACCUCAUCAAUUCUCCACGAGGUCAAUUAACACUCUACUAUGAGCCUCACUGUGUAUAUGACAAGGAUUUUCUUGAGAAGGAGCAUGCUGACAUUGUUAUCACACCAGUCAUCAAACAGCUUCUGCCUAAAUUUACUUUGGUUUCAGGACAAGAAGAUGCAGUUAAACUUGCAAAGUUGCUGCGUGCCAAGUACCCAGCCUGUUUAUUGUACCAAUGAAAAAUGGAGACCUCGAUGGCAAAGGGUUUCUUGCCAGUAUCAUUCAGGCAGAGGGAACAGUAGAAUCAUUCAAGGAGCUUUUAGCAAAGGAACUACCAGAUACUCAGGCACUUGAGCCCACCCCUGGUGUGCCGCUGGAAAUUUCAGCACCUUUAAAUUUUUAAGGUGCUCGUACGGAUCAUAUUUUAGUAAAUAUACUGUUUCAUCAAAUAUGUAAAUUUCCAUAUCUCUUUUCUUUUUUUAGCUAGUUGAUAACGUUGAAACGGAUCAUCUAGGACUAUUAAGGGCGAGGGGGUAAAAGACAACCAAAGUAAAGGGAAUGAUCUCUGUAACUUGAAUUGGAUUUUUCUUUGACCGUUGUAGUAUUAUGGAAAAUUUUGGCUCCCUUGCUAUGUAUUACGUGGGUCUUUUCUGAAUAUUAUCUAUAAAAAUGAAUAGAAAAUGACUUUGCUAUUAA